rnacentral:lncRNA from 1 species
CAGGCUGGUCUUGAACUCCUGGCCUCCAGCGGCCUCCCACCUCAGCCUCCCAAAGUGCUGGGAUUACAGGCCCGAGCCUCUGCGUCCAGCCGAUCCAGCAUGCUUUGAAGGCACAAAUCAGGGGCACUUUCAUGCUGGCCCAGCAGAGCCAGUGGGUCCCGCCCAAUGCCUGGGCUACUUCCUGCUGUGCCUGGGGGCACCUGGGGCUGUCCUGCCUCACUGGCCAAGGCCCGGCUCUGUCCCUGGGCUCUGGCCACUGUUCUGCCAUCCCAGGCUGGGUACCCAUGGGCAGCCCGACAGUAUCUGUUGCACAGAGCAGACCCCAGGCCCCAUGGGUGCCUGACACGAAGCCCCACAGCGUGUGCCCGCGUCCCCCGAGGUCAGCCGGCGGCUCCUGCCCUUCCCUCUGACCUCUGGUUGGGGGCCGGCCAUUUUUCUGCUUGUUCCUCUAGCUCUGCUACUGGGCACAUGGUCCGUGCUGGGUAGGCUGCAGGCCAGGGUGAGUUGCUGACCCGCUGACCCUGGCUGUGCACCUGCCCUCCUGCCCUGGGUGGCUGCUGCUGGCCCAGGGGUGACUUGGGGGCUUUCAAGCUUCUGCCCGUGCUGGCCGCACGACCCCACGUCCCACCCUGGGUAGGGACUUGUGAUUCUCAGAGCUGGGGUCCGUUGCUUUCCUAAGGACCUCCGGCCCUGGUCGUGGUCUAAAUGCUCACUCCUGUUGUUGGAGAGGCCAGCCGGGUGACAGGGAAAAGCCCAGAGCCCCGGGCUUCCCGUGAGGAUCUGGGCUCAGCAUGGGCUGUGGGGCUGCAGAGGCCUGGCCUUGCCUGCUGAGGGACACCCGCUGGUAGUGCCUGCAGAGGGGGGAGGAGGAAUUCCUCCCCCUAGUGCCCUCUGGACCCUGGGAGAGCAAGACCUCUGCAUCCACACUGCCUUCCGCUGGGCCUCUGGGGACUGGGGAAGCGGACACAGUCCAGGACUGUUGGAGGAGGAAGAGGCUGCGGCUGCUCUUCCCUGGGGGUCCGGCUCCAGGAGGCUGCGGUGACCGUUGGGCCGGAGCAGGCCAGUGCCGGGCACGUCCUGCCCAUGACAGCCCUGCUGCCAGCCGUGGGCACUUGUUCCUGGAGCUCCGUGGCUGGGUCCUGCCGUCUCCGCUGCUGCCCUGCCCUGCCAUGUUCACCUCCAGUUUAUCCAGCAAUGGGGAGAGGGGCUUCUUAGAUCCCCCUCAGGCUUUUCUUUUGUGCCUUUAGAUAUGUGAAAUACAACACAGCCAGGCAAAGCAGGUGCCGGUGAGACACCUGGCUGGCCCGAGCUGGCCCGAAGAACUGCCUGUCUGCCAUGAGGAAAACCCACACUGCGUGGUGGCUGGGAGGCCAGGAGUUUUCACAAGCCGGAAACCUGUUAGAUUUCUCUACCUGACAGCAGGAAAAUCUGAUGAGACCCGAUCGCAUCCAGGCAGGCCGUGUUCUCGCAGCCCGCGGGUUAACACAGACUCCGAGUGACUCCGACGCAGGAGAACGCGGCGAAUCUGCGUGAGGCAGGCCACCAGCCUUGGUGCCCCGGAGACAGCUCCCCCAACGGCCAUGUGACGGCGUUGAGUGUCCGUGGUCAGGUAGCCGAAGCAGAGACGGAAGGCAGCAAACGUCAGCAUUUUCUUCUCUGCACUUAUAAGAAAGAUCAAAGACUUUAAGACUUUCACUAUUUGUUUUACCGCUAUCUGCUACGAACUUCAAAGAGGAACCAGGAGUACAGGAGGAGUAUGAAAUGCAACAAAGAGUAAUAUUAAAAGCUAAUGAUUAAUAA